rnacentral:rRNA from 1 species
GAUGAACGCUGGCGGCGUGCCUAAUACAUGCAAGUCGAGCGACCUCACGAGAAUGUUGCUUCUCUUAUGUUAGCGGCGGCCGGUUGAGUAACACGUGGAUCCCCUCCCUAUCCUACUGGGAUAACUUCGGGAAACCGGCGCUAUUACCCCAUAAUAUUUUGAACCGCCUGUUUCCUUAGUGGAAGACGGUCUUCCUUUCACUUAUAGCUUGAUCCGCGCUGCAUUAGUUAGUUGGUAAGGUAACGGCUUACCAACGCAACGAUGCGUAGCCGACCUGAGAGGGGGAUAGGCCACACUGGAACGGAGACACGAUCCAGACUACUACGGGAGGGAGGAGUAGGGAAUAGUCCGCAAUGGGCGAAGGCCUGACGGAGCAAAGCCGCGUGAGUGAUGAAGGGGAGCGGAUAGGAAAACUCAGUUAUUAGGGAAGAACAGAUGUGUAAGUAACGGGGCACAUCGUGACGGUACCUAAUCAGAAAGCAACGGCUAACUACGUG